AUUGAACGCUGGCGGCAGGCCUAACACAUGCAAGUCGAACGAGUGGCGGACGGGUGAGUAAUGUCUGGGAAACUGCCUGAUGGAGGGGGAUAACCACUGGAAACGGUCGCUAAUACCGCAUACCAUCGGAUGUGCCCAGAUGGGAUUAGCUGGUCGGUGGGGUAAAGGCUCACCUAGGCGACGAUCCCUAGCUGGUCCGAGAGAAUGACCGGCCACUCUGGAACGGAACAACGCCCAAGACUCCAAGGGAGGGCGGCAGGGGGGAAUAUUGGACAAGGGGGGCAAGCCUGAGGCAGCCAGGCCGGGGAUAUGAAGAAGGCCUUCGGGUGGUAAAGUACGUUAAGCGGGGAGGCGUUACCCGCAGAGGAAGCACCGGCUAACUACGUGCCAGCCGCCGCGGUAAUAC
rnacentral:rRNA from 1 species